rnacentral:rRNA from 1 species
GUUCCAGACUCCUACGGGAGGCAGCAGUGGUUCCUCUUGCACAAUUUGGUCAACCCUGCUGCAGCGACGCCGCGUGCGUGAAGAAGUAUUUCGGUAUGUACCGCUCUAUCAGCAGGGCAGAAAAUGACGGUACCUGACUAAGAAGCCCCGGCUAACUACGUGCCAGCAGCCGCGGUAAUACGUAGGGGGCAAGCGUUAUCCGGAUUUACUGGGUGUAAAGGGAGCGUAGACGGCAUGGCAAGUCAGAUGUGAAAGCCCGGGGCGCAACCCCGGGACUGCAUUUGAAACUGUCAGGCUGGAGGGCAGGAGAGGGAAGUGGAAUUCCUGGGGGAGCGGUGAAAGGCGGAGAUAUUAGGAGGAACACCAGUGGCGAAGGCGGCUUACGGGACUGUAACUGACGUUGAGGCUCGAAAGCGGGGGGAGCAAACAGGAUUAGAUACCCCCGU